CAAUAGCGUAUAUUAAAGUUGUUGCAGUUAAAAAGCUCGUAGUUGAAUUUCUGUCAGGAGUGACCGGGCCUUUGGAUGAACUUCCAUUGUUUUUUGCUCUGUUUGUCAUCUCUAGACAUCCUGAAAUAUUUUUUAAAAAUAUUUCUCUUUUACUGUUAGCAAAAUAGAGUGUUCCAAGCAAAGCGUAGUUUUGAAUACAUUAGAAUGGAAUAAUAAGAUAGAACUUUGGUGCUAUUUUGUUGGUUUGCGCACCAAGGUAAUGAUUAAUAGGGACAGUUGGGGGUAUUCGUAUUUAAUUGUUAGAGGUGAAAUUCUUGGAUUUAUGAAAGACGAACUACUGCGAAAGCAUUUACCAAGGAUGUUUUCAUUAA
rnacentral:rRNA from 1 species